UGCUAGAGUUUUGUCACUCUGCCUUGCUGUGGGAGACGUCACAUUCUUCGGUUUGCCGACGCCUCGGACACACCUCAGCCAUCACAGCCAUGUCUGACUUCUCGGAAGAUCAAAUCCUUGAGUUUAAGGAAGCAUUCCUGCUGUUCGACAAGACAGGAGAUGGGAAGAUCAGCUACAGCCAGUGUGGGGAUGUCAUGCGGGCCCUGGGACAGAACCCUGUCAACGCUGAGGUGCUCAAAGUCCUGGGCAACCCCAAGGCUGAGGAGAUGAACACCAAGAUGCUAGACUUUGAGCAGUUCCUGCCCAUGUUCCAGGCCAUCGCUAAGAAUAAAGAUCAGGGCUCCAUGGAGGAUUUUGUGGAGGGACUGCGUGUCUUUGACAAGGAGGGCAAUGGCACAGUAAUGGGAGCAGAGCUACGUCACGUCCUCACCACGCUAGGUGAGAAAAUGACAGAGGAAGAAGUGGAGACACUCUUGGCAGGGCAUGAAGAUGCAAACGGUUGCAUUAAUUAUGAAGCAUUUGUGCGCCACAUCAUGUCAGGCUGAGGGCCGGUACGGGCAUUGGGUAUACCAUGAGAUGGCACCGCCAGGCUUUUCUUCUUUAACUGGUCAGGAUGGUGAUGAGCGGGUGAAGACGAAGAGCAUCCCACUUUUUUUUUUUUCUACCCUGUCACAUGUACCUUCUUUUUUUCAGUUUGCUUCUACAGUCCCCACCUCCUCAGCUUUUUCCAUGAAAUUAGUUUUCCACAUUUAAUUUAAGAAGUGCCUUUACAUUCCCUACUAAAGACCACAAAUUAUUGCAGCUGUUGCUGCAAAUUACAUUGCGGAAUUUAAAUAAAUGUGUUUCCUGAAAAUGUA